GACGAACGCUGGCGGCGUGCCUAAUACAUGCAAGUAGAACGCUGAAGAGAGGAGCUUGCUCUUCUUGGAUGAGUUGCGAACGGGUGAGUAACGCGUAGGUAACCUGCCUUGUAGCGGGGGAUAACUAUUGGAAACGAUAGCUAAUACCGCAUAACAAUGAGUGACACAUGUCAUUUAUUUGAAAGGGGCAAUUGCUCCACUACAAGAUGGACCUGCGUUGUAUUAGCUAGUAGGUGAGGUAACGGCUCACCUAGGCGACGAUACAUAGCCGACCUGAGAGGGUGAUCGGCCACACUGGGACUGAGACACGGCCCAGACUCCUACGGGAGGCAGCAGUAGGGAAUCUUCGGCAAUGGGGGCAACCCUGACCGAGCAACGCCGCGUGAGUGAAGAAGGUUUUCGGAUCGUAAAGCUCUGUUGUAAGUCAAGAACGAGUGUGAGAGUGGAAAGUUCACACUGUGACGGUAGCUUACCAGAAAGGGACGGCUAACUACGUGCCAGCAGCCGCGGUAAUACGUAGGUCCCGAGCGUUGUCCGGAUUUAUUGGGCGUAAAGCGAGCGCAGGCGGUUUGAUAAGUCUGAAGUUAAAGGCUGUGGCUCAACCAUAGUUCGCUUUGGAAACUGUCAAACUUGAGUGCAGAAGGGGAGAGUGGAAUUCCAUGUGUAGCGGUGAAAUGCGUAGAUAUAUGGAGGAACACCGGUGGCGAAUGCGGCUCUCUGGUCUGUAACUGACGCUGUGGCUCGAAAGCGUGGGGGAGCGAACAUG
rnacentral:rRNA from 1 species